AACAGGAACAACAGGAGGAGGAGAAGCAGUGGUUCGCCGUCUCGCUGUCUCUCUCCCCCUCUCUCUCCAUCUCCCUCCCUCUCUGGCUCUUUCCCCUUUAAACCAUCAAGCGUCGAAUUUACAGUUACAUUGAUGGAAUCUCGAGAAGGCUCGAGCAAAAUAUGCCAACAAAACAGUCUAUAAAAAGAUUUUGUUGUGGAUGAUAACACGGGUUCAAACGAGUCAGCAGCGCAUAGACUUGAAGCUCUUGGCACAUCUCUUCAUCAACUUCUAAGCAAUAGGAUGGAACGAAUUCGAAGACAAAAAACUGAAAAUGAACAACAAAAUGCCCAGAUAAAAGCUCAACUAAAUUGCGGGUUUUAAGGAUAUUGAAGACUUUCUCCUAGGGGUGUCAAUAGUCCUUCUGAUGGCAAAGUUGAGAAGUUGCCAGGCCUACCCAGAAGAAUGAUUAGCAGGUAGGAGGGCAAUUUCAACAUCUUUCCUUGAAGUGAUAAAUGAAAAUUUUAAGAAUGUGAGAUUGAGAAGAUUUUCAAGCAUUCAAUUGCAACAGGUAUGCGUGUUUGGGUAUGUUUUUAUGUGUAAAUGAAAUAAUAUUUUUUACAUACUACCAUCUUUGCCUUUCCAUCUCUAUAUUUCAUAUGCUUCGCUUGCUAGAAUUAAAGGUGAUUUAGUUAGUGCAAAUAGUUUGAUAUUCAUGGGAAAGAAAUUUUUGUCGUAUCUCAUAAAUUUAAUAUUCAUUGGGGGUGCGAUUUGCUUAAAGAUUCGUUGAUUGCCAAAGCCUCAUCUAUAAUUUAGAGACUCAGUGACGUCAUAGGACAUGAGGUCAGAUACAUAAACUUUAAGUUGCAGCCAUUACUUAAGUAAACCGUAUAAAAAAGAGAAAUAUAUAAAGAAAAGAAAAAUUAGUUUCGAUACACCACGUUUAUGAAUUGGAUUUAAUAUCUUUAAGGCUACCCACCAUUAAUAUUAUAGCUACAAGCCUACAACAAACCAAAUGCUUCAGAUCAUAUUGCAUGUAUAAAAAUAUAUAUGUGUUAACUGAGUAUUAUUGUUGGUAUCGCAUCAUAUAGCGGAGCUGAGGCUAGGCCUAGCAGUUAGUUUAAGAUAUGCAGGCUGUCCAGCAUAUGUAUUAUGUAGUCCCUAGCAUCCUGCAUUUCUCUCCCUAGCGCGUAUUCAUGUUGCUCCUCCUCUAUUUUUUAUAUAUGCACUAUUCUGAAUUGAAUCUGUAUCCCUUGCGAAAUUAAAACACCCGCAGAGGCAAGCAUCACUGGCUAGCUACCUCCUGCAUGGGUUUCGCAUGUAUAUUGUUAUUAUGUACUCAAUUUUAUAUACUACUACAUGACCACCAGGUGUAUGAAUUUUCACUCUUAAUUUGCAAGAAAUAACUAUUUAUUAGGUAAGCAGUUUAGACUGCUAUCUUGAGUACUUCUUUUGUCAUUGAUUGUAUGUUCUGUUUAUAGAAAAUUAGAGCUAACAGAGUUUUCAGCAUAAUCUUCUUUUCAUUGUCAACAUUAGUAAAGCCUGUUCCUUCAUCAUAGACGAGCUUUAACUUACCUUCGCUGAUAUAAAAAUGAUCUGGAAAGAGUUCUUCAUGCACUCUGAUUUAUAGGCUGGAGGAGCAUUCGUGAAGGGUGUUUGUGUUCUAUAAUUACCUGCAGUUAUGUGUCAGCAUGUGUAAGCUCUAUGAUUAAGAUGCAGUAGUGAAUCUUCUACCCUGCUCUAUAUGAAACGUUUAUUUUGUAAUGCUUACCAGAGAUCUCAAGUUGCAAGAAAGUAUGUUCAAGAUCUUUAUAAGGGAUGCACAUAGAGAUGUUAAUAAACUUUACCUUCUACCAUAAUAUAUGGCGUGCCUGUUUAUUACAUCUCUCAAGCAGCAUAUCUAUUAUUUGAUUUUGAUGAGUUUCAUUGAUUUUAUAGGUGUGGGAGCGGCCUAUGGCAUUCUUCUUAACCGGUUACUAAUUUUUUUUGGUGCAGUGGAUGUUUUAAAUGGUGUGUGGAAACUAAAGAAAGUGAUGGUCGGAAAGCAGGUUAGCUACCCACAUGGCUGAUCUUCUCCACCAACAAAGAUUUUAAGUCCAGACACUUCAGCUUUUGUUUGGAAGAGCUUCAGGAGGUCACUGUUCUGUCACCCUGUUCUUCCCCCCCCCCCCCCCCCCACUUUAUCAUGAGAAACUGCUUGACUUUAUUGUGAUAAACUAAAAAAAUACAAAAAAAAACAGAAAAGAGAGAGAGAAUUUAGUUCGGUGUUUUUUUCAGUUCGGACGUGUACCUGAGCGCGUCAAGUGCCAACAUUCAUUCUUCUACACUAAUGAUAUUCGGCAUUUGUGGUUAGCCAAUUUUCAAUUUGUGUCUUUGGUACGUGUUCAUGUAUUUUAUGUAAAGCACAUACAUCAUUGACUUUUAUAUGCGUUCAGCAGAUUUUAAGAUUUUUUGAAGUGACUUGAAAAAACGACCAAAUUACUCCUUUGCGGAGGCCAUUGAGUGGUGACAACUGAGUAGUCUAUAUAUGUCCAUAUAUGUAUGUAUGUAUACUUCUUCACAAUAAUUUUAAUAUUCCUAUAUUACUCAGAGGUUUUAUUCUCACUUUUUUAGUUAUCUAUUUUUUCUAAAAUUUAAUAAUAUAGAUGGCAAAAAAAAAAUAUUUAGUAAUCAUCCAAAUCAAAAUAGUUGUGUAAAAUGAUAUAUGAACGAUUUAUUUGAGGAUUUAUAUUUGAGUGAACCAAAACUUAUACUUUUGUAUGUUGCAGUGGUUUAGAUAGUUUCGGCAAAGAGACAAGAAGCUCAUGGCUGCAAAACCCCAAAUUAUAUACAACAUAAAUCUUUGCACACUGAAUCAAACAUUAGGAAGGCGAUUAAGGAGGUUCUCACGACGAGCUUCUGUUUUUAUGUUUCUUAUUUCUACAUUUGUUUAGUACUCGGUUUGUAAUGAUCGACCUUCGCUGUCAAAUUUGACCAAUCAGAGUUUAAGAGAUUUUAACUUUACACAAUAUAAAAACUUAUCUCCAGAGAUCAUUUAUUAUAUAAUUAAAGAUGUUGGAGCUGUUAUAACUCUUAUUUGUGUUGGGUGCUGCUAUAUUAUUUUACAGAUAUUGAGGUCAAGUAGAUGCUGGUGCCCCGUCUCUCAGAAAGCUCAAAUUUUAACAAGGUUUAUCAGAUAUCAGAAUGCACGACGGUGUCGGCCGGACUGCAUAAGAGAGAUAGUAGCUGCAUUCCACCUCUCAUAUACGCCUUCAUGCGUAGUUCAAGAGACAUUGCCAUAGGAUAAGUGGCAGUGGUCUCUCUUUUGAUGGGCACAUUGCUACAAAAUGAACUUGAUCCUGAAACAAACAAACUUGAAUUUCAACGCCUUGCACUUACUGCGACAUUCUUUGCUGGUGUUACUCAAACUAUAUUUCAGAUGUAGAGACACGGGAAUUCUGGAUGCUUUCCUGCUGAUCUCAAAACUCAGCAGAAUGUCAAAGCUGUUUUCGAUACUGCUAUCAAGGCUGUACUUCAACCUCCAAGGAUGAAGGAAAUUGCAAGGAAGACCAGAUGUAGAAGCUCUGGUUGAUCAAUUGUCCAGAGUAUGGUAUGCGGAGGUUGUGUUGCUUAACACAUGCUGUUUUCGAAUGGACCAAAACAAAAGACUUUUGGCAUAGAUCGAUCUCCUGCAAUUGCUUUAUCAGUUCAACAGAACAAACUCUUCUCUUGCUACGUGUACAUCAAUGGAUGUUGGCAUGCAUAAUUGUAGCCGGAGGGAAUUUGUUGAUUUUGUGAGUUUUUCUUAUUCUGUUAGCAAAUGAAAAAGAUAGCCAUAGGAAAUUAGGAACUCAUUCUUUCUCUAGGCUAUGACUAUUAUGGUGAUAUGUGGAUGUGCAUGUGUGAUGUCUGGCUAUUUAAUGUGUAAGCUCUAUCUUCCCAGUAAGAUUCAUAUUUUGCUACUGCUGUUUAAUUUGUAGAAAUUUAUGUGAUAUUUCUUGACAUGGUGUAAUACAUAUUUUAGUCAUGGAUGUU